GGCGCUUUGGCGGAGUGGUUAACGCGAUGCCCUGCUAUUACACGAUAGCCAAGGCAUUCCCUUCGGGGGCGUGUGUUCGAAUCACACAGGCGUCG